AAGAGUAUUGUGUGAAUUCAUGGGCAUUGUGAGGGAAAUUGGUGACCUUGCAGGGGACGGCUGGAGCAGGUCCCUAAAGUCUGGUAUCCUCAUUUUCCAUCUCUUGGAAAAAAUUCACUUGGUUUUUUCAGUUGAAGAGUGUGGAGGGAAAUUGAUUCUUGUCUGAACUGCCUCAUGCUCAUGAAUGCCGGUGGAUGUAACUUAAUAACAGCACAAGGGGCAUGGGCUUCUCCCUGCCUGCAGCACCACGAGGAUCCUGCUGAGCGAGCACAGGGGGAGCACAAGGGAGCAGCUCUGGGAUGAUGCCCUGGGUGCUUCUGCAUGGCUGUGGAAUAAGGUCCAGCUGACAAGCAAGCCUGGGGAGCUGUGGAAGAAAAGUGCCCAGAGGAGAACAAGGAAUACAGUGCAGUCAGCUGGAGGUUUCAUUGGAAGGCACACACACACCCAGGGUUUAAAGGGAUGAAGGGAACGUAAUUCAGCAGAUUCCUUUGGAGCAGCACUUGUUCUCCUGGCUGACAGAGGGACCAGAAAAAAUGGAGGAGCAAUUUGAGACUACAGGACAAAUAGAUGCUGUCCUAACCUCUGUCUGCUCACUGCUCCCUGGAGCUGCUGUGACAGGCUGGACCCACCUUCCUUUCACUCAGUUCAGUGGAGAGUGUGGUACCUACAUUUCAAUUGGAAUGGACAGGGCAGCAUUUCACACCUCCUGCUUCAGCCUGAGGGACUCUCUCUUCCUAAACAAGUUCUUCUAUGAAGUCAAUAAAAAUGUGGUUGUAGUUUGUUGUUCCACAAAUGUGUAAACUCUGUCAAAUCUUCAAAAUGCCAGCCCCAGACAGGCAGUGGGAUGACAACGUUGUUCUAUUAGAGCUGCUGUGCUGUCAGCAGCCCUUUCCUGGGUGUUGUUUCCUAUCAGGCACCUGAGAAAAAACUCUUGGAGUGGGCUUGAGGUGUGAUGUUCCUACAAGCACGAUUUUCAAUUUUCCUUGUGAGCUGCAGGUAUUUCUCAGCUGUUUCCCAGUGCCCGUUUUCUGUUUGCUCUGGCUUCUCCUUAUCUCCCAUUCCUGCUGUGGUUUCCCAUAGCAUGAGGUACCUCUCACAACCUGCAGCAGCUCUGAAGCCCUGGGCUCCUGGCCAGGUUUUUAUUAUUGUUCUUAUGAACUGUUAACUCUCCUUUUUCAAAAGUGCAUGAAGGAGGCAGACCUGGAGGCUUUUACUUGUAAAGCUCUUCUGUCUUUGGUUUCUCCUGGCAACGCUUUGUUCUCAGCAUAUCUUGUUCAUAUGGAAAGGGGUUUUUAUUCCCUUGGUGUUGGUCACAAUUCUGAGCAGCAUCUUUCACCCUCCCAUCCCUCACUGGGCUCAAAUGCCUGUUUCUGAAACAUGAACAACAAAUACCUCUUAAAAUUUAAGGAAGACACAUUCAAAGAACUCAAGAGUAAAUUAGAAGUAUAAUUCUCUGUUAUUUUAAAAUGUUAUAUUGUAUUUUCUAAGUGUCAUCCUAAUAUACUUCAGGAACUUUUAUUUCCAAACAAUGGAAUUAAAAAUAUAAUGCAAAUACAGGAUAGUACCCUUAGUAUUCCUUAUUUCAGUUAGCAAGGAAAAAAAUUAGUUUUCCAUUGCUAUUGCCCACUGAAGCUGUGGCUGCCCCUGGAUCCCUGGAAGUGUCCAAGGCUAGGUUGGACAGGCCUUGGAGCAGCCUGGGACAGCGGAAGGUGUCCCUGCCCAUGUCAGGGAGUGGCACUGGAUGAACUUUAAGGUCCUUUCCAACCCAAACCACUCAGUGAUUCUAUGAUAAUACUCCUGCUGAAAUAUUUAAUAGCUGUUUUUAUCUUAAUGCUUUGUCACUCUGUGGAACUGGAUUUCCUCUGUGCAUUUUGUGGUCACAAUCUGCAGUAUUUCAAAUGCUGUUCCUUUAUUCCACAUGCAGGUGAAUUCUGUGGGUAUUUGUUCUGGUAAAAAGUGUAGUUGACUCCCUUUUUUCCUUGGGGUAAUGGAUAACCACAUCAAUAGACAACAAGAAAUAAGUUGAAGCUGGUGAGUUUUGGUGCCCUUUCUCUUGUUGGUUCAGCUUUUCCCAAGGUCUAGGGCCAGGCAGAGCGGUUCCUGUGGAUUCCCACAGGUCCUGGCCAUGGUCUCCUCGCGAUUGUCUGACCUCAGACCAAAACCAAGCCAAGCAGCUCAAGAAAAAAACCAAAGGCUGCUGAAGGAUUGCUGCUGCAGUCCCUCCAAGCCUGGGAAAAGGGGAAAAAAUAAGCUUUUUCGUUAAGCCAACGCAAAACCAAUCUGGCUGAGCAACAAAGCACCCAGUGAUACGCACCGCGCUGAGCGCACCGGGAGAGCGCCUUGAACAAAACCCGCGCAGGAGCCCCAAGGCUCCCACCACUGCUCCAGACCCACCCCAAAGCUCCAGCAGCCACUUCUGGGCAUAAAGCAGAUGAUGUGGGAAUAGAACAUCAUCAUAAAGUCACCUCAAAACAACAGGGGGUUUUUGAAGCACGUUUGAAGCACAUGAUGCUGUUGGAGUCACACAAGGAGAAAUCAGUGAAAGGAACUCUCUGCUUCAAGACAAAAAGCACCAAAAAAGUAAGAGCCCAGCUCUCCUUUUCUAUAAAUCAACAGCCAAGAAACUCCAAGGAGUGCUUUUCCAGCAUUGGUGCCUACCCACUGCCCCCUUGGCAGCAUUUUUUCUGAAUGAUACAGCAAAACAGGAAGUAAGCAGAUGCAAUUUUUUUCCCUCUACAGUCCUGCAAACUCCUCUUCGUGUGCCCAUCGGCAAAGGCAGCAGGAGUUUCACAGUAAGAAACCUCUCCAAGCUACAAAUUCUGUCCCCUGGGAGGAAGUUCAGCACUUAUCAGCAUCUUCCUCCUUUUUUAUUAGAAAUGAAGGCACGAUCCUGAAAUAAAAGGAAACAUAUUGGCAACUGUCAGCUUUUGGGAAGACAUCACCAAUAAUUUUGUCAUGAAAAUAAGUGUACAGCCCAUAGCAGUACUGUUAUUUAAGUCUGUUACCACCCUUGGAGUGAUAUCUCAGAAUUAUUUCACCCCAGCCCCCAGGAACUGUUGCUUUCAGGUAAUUCAGAAUAUAAGGAGUUAUCAAAAUGUUCAUGUAGACAAUGUUUUCUGCUUUAGAGAAGAAAAUAAAUUGGAUUUUAGUUGUUUUCCCAUACUAUGCCAAUCUCUGGCCCUCAAAGAGAGCAGUCCAUUUUACCGAUUUUUAGUCAUUUUCCUUAUUAAAAAUAACUGGAAUGCAAACAAAAACACCUGCAGCCACACAAGAUCUGUGAUAUUUUAAUAACAUUUGCUAAUCGUUUUGGUGUCCUUUGUAAUUCCUUUGAAGCUCAGUUUCUUACAGCUUAGUACAUAUCUUCCUUUAAUAUCACUGUUUUCAAAAUGUCAAAUUAAUUCUUUAAUGAUCUUGUUGACACCCAAAAUCUUUUGAGCUUCCAUCAGAUAAAACAAAGCUGUCUUAGCCCAGCAUCUAUCUCCAAAUGUUAUUAACUUUUCUUUUUGUGUUUUGUGCAGACACCUGAAAUAUUACAUGCAAUUAAGAGCCUUUUGAUCUUCAAAGGCUGACAUGCAGGGGCUGAAACCAUGCCUGGGUGUCAGAGUCACAGGGACAUCUGUUCUUGGAUUAAUUUUCCAAGCCCCAGAUAAUUUCCACUGCUUUCCCAAUAUAUCCUGCAUUAAAUACGUCUGGACUUUUUACCAAAUAGAUGAAAGAAGAUGGUAAAGCUUCUUCUCUCCUGAUUGGUUUAAAAAUCUUUUGUAGUGUAUUUUUAAAUUAAUAUUCAACCUAAUGUUUUAAAUAAUCAGAACUAUUUAGCUGUCCAAAAUAAUCAUGACAAUUAAUACAAGGUCCAAGACCCAAUAAAGACUGAAUUUUCCAAACAAAAGCCUGAUUUUCCAGGUAUUCUUGUUGAUCCUUUAGACAACGUUCAUGGAAGGCUGAGUGGCCACAUGUUUCAGGGUGGCAAAAUUGGGCUUUUUUGGCUCCAAAAGUUGAGCCAAUCACUUGAACAGAUGAAUCAGAAUUGUGAUGUACUGAGACCAUCCCAAGUUCAUCAGAGAUGGGAUGGUGGAAAAUCCAGACUCUUCUGUAUGGGGUUGAAAACCGAGUGAUCCUACAUGCUGUGGCCCCAAAUCUGUGGGGUUUGGCAGGACUGGGACAAUAUUCCUUUGUCAUUCACAACUGACCCAAUUGCUUUGCUACCAGCUGAAGAUGUUGUUUAAAUCCCAUAUCCAACAAUCAAAUAGCCCCAGGCACAAAAGUCUUCCUAAAUUAAAGUGUUCAAUAUCUGAAGUCUUUUUAUAGCUGUGAGCUCUUCAUUGAGUGUGGACAAUGCAAAUGAGAACAGAGCAACAACAGUUAUAAUGAUAAAAAAAUUCUAAUUUAUCACUUCACCAUCUGCUUACCAUGGGAAACACAUUGAAAAUUACUUGAAUGAAUCUAGAGUGAAAUUCAAAAUUAGAUCUUCACUCCUCAGAGGAACAUGUUUCUAGAAAAAUCUCUAAUGAGCAACAACUGGCUAAAAGCACAGCCCACCACUCAGCUGGAGCUUGAUUUCCUGCAAGGAAGUGCACGGUGGGAUUGCUUGGAGUGAAGGCAGGGGGAAAUUCCUGGUCCUCACAGUCUUUUUGAAAGGAAAAAACCCCAAAUGGGUAAGAAAUAUUCAAGUACUUCUGAAAACCUCAAUUAUUUUGAGAGCCCUGCCAAGGGAGUGGAGAUCUCCAUCACAAAAUUAAGAUUUCAUUUCAGUGGGAGAAAAAAAUUCAUUGGGAAGAUAAAUCCUGUGAAAUAUGAAGAACAGUGCAGUAGUUGAAAGAGAAGGGAAAGGAAUAUAAAGCCAUCCUAAUUCCAUUUAAAAGCACAAUAUUGAAUUUUGUAUAGCUUUAAAAACUCCUGAUAAUUCACGAACAGCCAAAGAAGAAACACACUUCAUAUGUCAGCUAUGGAUAACUCCUAUAUUGAGCUGUUUCCCUGCUGCUUCCCUGGUUAUUGUAUCGCUCUUCCAAGCCUCCCAAAGUCCUUGCCUCAUAAACCAUGGAGAUAAUUCCAAUAUAUUAUCCCCAUCAUCAUCUUUUUACAGAUCUUUAUGAUCCAUGCUCAUUCCAAACCAGUUUUCCCACUUGCCUUUAUUGACAUGAAUUUUGCCACAGGGUCACAGCCCAGGCUGGCUCAGCCUUUGGUCUCAGUGGGGAUCUUUAGGUACAACCUGAAUUUUUAAAAAUGAACACAGGACCCUGAGGAGCUUCCAAACCACUGAAAUGAAAAAAAUCUGUGUAUUCCCUCCUGUGGAUGUGAUACCCACAGAAGUUUGUAAACAACAAAGCAGACCUUACAAAUGCUCCAAAUCUCUUCAUUUUUCUCUUAUU
ensembl:lncRNA